AUAUAUUUGCCACCGGGCAACGCGAUGCAAAAGCAUCCGAUUACACGUCGUUAGGUCCUAGAAGAUGUGUAACCGGGUGCUUUCUGUAU
rnacentral:ncRNA from 1 species